rnacentral:misc_RNA from 1 species
GUUUUCCCAGGCUCUCUAACUCUUCACCAGAAUCCUCGUCAAGGACUCUACCAGAAAUUUCAAGAAUAUAAGACCCGUCUCUGUCAGCUGGAAGGCCCCUACUCGCAAGCAACUUCAGAUCCUUUGGGUUAAGCUCUCUCCCGUUAACAAAUACUCCAGUACCUCCACCAGCACAGUUUACAGGCAUGGGAUAGUUAAAUUCUUCAAUAAAUGGAGGGAUAAUGCCCAGACAAUGACCACCGAUAACUCCCCAAAAUCCAGCUCGAAAAUCA